UUAUUAAUUGUUUACUGUAAAUUCAAUGUUUCUCAUUGAAGUUUGGUUAGCUUAUUAUAUCAUUUUUUGUAUAAAUGCUUUCAGUGUAAAGCAGACCCUGUCACAUUUAGAUGUACAUAGUGAAAAUCAUAAAGUUUUAUGGGAAACUGAAGGAUCUUAUGCAGAAGUGCCUUUCAUAGUUUUAGCACAGAAAGUUUUAGAUUGUUCACAUGGUACAGAUCGCAAUAAUGCAAGAAAAAAAACAUACAAGGAUAAAACAAAAGCAAAGAAAACUGAACACUCUGAACACUCUAAUGUCAAAAAAGUUAUUUUAGUGUGCAAGACACAAAAAAAUUCCAAUGUCCAGCACAAGUUUCUAUGAAGGAAAUUAUAUAUUUCAAAGAUUAUAAGCUUACAGAACCCACAGAAUGGAAAAAGAGAAUUACCUCUUUGCAAAUAAGAAAUUUGUUAAAAGUAAAAGGUGAUAUUGGUAUGACUAAGAAGAAAAUUAUGCUUAUUGUAGAUGACAUUUCAGAACAUAGAAACCAUGCGGUUGGAGAACUCACGAAACCUUCAAUUUGUCUAUAAUUGAAGAAGUUAAUUGGAACAGCUGUUACGUAACUGCUAAUAGUUUUACUGCUCUUCUUAAUGUACAAAAGAGCUUAUGAUUCAAGCUCCACAUCUUGUAUUGACAACAAUAUAUCCAACUCACAACAAGUUAGGUUUCUAUCUGAUUUAAAUAAAGCUGACACAGCUCAAUCAACUCAUGCCAAAAGUUCAUCUAUUUUAAAUAAUUGUGUAGAUUUUGUGGUUCCACCAAAGAAAAUAACUUAGAACUCAGAAAACCAAUAUAUGGCUGGAGAAUCUUGUAUGAGUGUUGUGCAGCUUCCAGUUAGACAAUUAUCUUCAUCAGUUAUACAAUAUAGUGCAUCUAAAAACAUCUUCGAGACACCACGAAAGGCUUUAACAGUUCUUUUUGAUUCUGAUGAGGUUUCUCACUAAAGGACCUUUUUUAGUAUAUCUACUUUGAACUUUUUACACAAGUAAAAACAAUGAUAUUUUUAAAGAGCACCUGAAAAAUUAUAUUCUUCAGUAUUCUCAAGUUGCUCUUCCUUCAGACAGUUGGCACUUCUUUUAAAUUUUCAAAACUAUUUGGAACCUUCGUCUGAUAAUCUGCUCGAUGAAUUAAAGGUACCUGCAAAGUAUGGUCCGCAAGUUCUGUAUAACUUAACACAAUAUGGCGUUCACAGUAGAUCAGGGUGUGAAAUGAUCAACACAGAGUUACGGACGGUUAAAAAGGUUUUAUGCGUUAUUGUUUGCAUAUACUAUUUGUUAGACCUCGCUUAUCCAUCUUCUUUUUCACAACUGAUGGGUCUUUUUCAUGAGGUGUUGCUAAACGAAUGCUUUGAAAAAAAAUCAAAAAAGACUUGCUCUUAUAUUGCUCAUAUAAACAGUUAACUAAAUUUUUUGAUGUCUUUAAGUAACGCUAGUUGUUUUCUUUAUUAAUUUAUUAAAAUUUUUCAUUUUAUAUUUAAGUUGUUACUUAAAGAACAAGU